CCUACGGGAGGCAGCAGUGGGGAAUAUUGGACAAUGGGGGGAACCCUGAUCCAGCGACGCCGCGUGAGUGAAGAAGUAUUUCGGUAUGUAAAGCUCUAUCAGCAGGGAAGAAAGGAAUGACUGUACCUGACUAAGAAGCCCCGGCUAACUACGUGCCAGCAGCCGCGGUAAUACGUAGGGGGCAAGCGUUAUCCGGAUUUACUGGGUGUAAAGGGAGCGUAGACGGUUACGCAAGUCUGGAGUGAAAGGCGGGGGCUCAACCCCCGGACUGCUUUGGAAACUGUAUAACUGGAGUGCAGGAGAGGUAAGUGGAAUUCCUAGUGUAGCGGUGAAAUGCGUAGAUAUUAGGAGGAACACCAGUGGCGAAGGCGGCUUACUGGACUGUAACUGACGUUGAGGCUCGAAAGCGUGGGGAGCAAACAGGAUUAGAUACCCUUGUAGUC
rnacentral:rRNA from 1 species